rnacentral:misc_RNA from 1 species
GAUGAAGAACGCAGCGAAAUGCGAUAAGUAAUGCGAAUUGCAGAAUUCAGUGAAUCAUCGAAUCUUUGAACGCACAUUGCGCCCGCCAGUAUUCUGGCGGGCAUGCCUGUCUGAGCGUCGUUUCGACCCUCGCGCCCGGCUUCUGUCGGGGGCGGUGUUGGGGAUCGGCCACACCCUUCAGUGGGAGGCCGGCCCCUAAAUUCAGUGGCGACCACGCUGUAGCCUCCCCUGCGUAGUACUAAAACCACCUCGCAGGCGGAGAGCGGUGCGGCCCGCCGUAAAACCCCCCAACUUUUACAAGGUCGACCUCAGAUCAGGUAGGAAUACCAGCUGAACUUAAGCAUAUCAAUAAGCGGAGGA